rnacentral:rRNA from 1 species
GACGAACGCUGGCGGCGUGCUUAACACAUGCAAGUCGAACGGGUCUGCCCUGUUUUUUGCGGGGUGGGUCAGUGGCGAACGGGUGAGUAACCCGUGAGUAACCUGCCCCUCACUUCUGGAUAACCGCUUGAAAGGGUGGCUAAUACGGGGUGUUCUGGCUGUGCCGCAUGGUGUGGCUGGGAAAGAUUCACUUUUGUGGUGUUUUGGUGGGGGAUGGGCUCGCGGCCUAUCAGCUUGUUGGUGGGGUGAUGGCCUGCCAAGGCUUUGACGGGUAGCCGGCCUGGGAGGGUGGGCGGGCACACUUGGGCGGAGAUACGGCCCAGACUCCUGCGGGAGGCAGCAGUGGGGGGUAUUGCACAAUGGGCGGAAGCCUGAUGCAGCGACGUCGCGUGAGGGAUGGAGGCCUGCGGGUUGUGAACCUCUUUCGCCGGUGAAGAAGGUCCUGCUCUUUGUGGUGGGGUUGACGGUAGCCGGGUUAUGAAGCGCCGGCUAACUACGUG